rnacentral:rRNA from 1 species
UGAAGUUGUUGAUGCCAUACUUCCAGGAAAAGCUUCUAAGCUUCAGAUAUAUAGGAACCGUACCCCAAACCGACACAGGUGGUUAGGUAGAGAAUACUAAGGCGCUUGAGAGAACUCGGGUGAAGGAACUAGGCAAAAUAGUACCGUAACUUCGGGAGAAGGUACGCUCUCUAGUGUUAAGCCCUUGCGGUGUAAGCACAGGAGAGUCGAAGUAACCAGGUGGCUGGAACUGUUUAUUAAAAACACAGCACUGUGCAAAAUCGAAAGAUGACGUAUACGGUGUGACGCCUGCCCGGUGCCGGAAGGUUAAUUGAUUGGGUUAGCGCAAGCGAAGCUCAUGAUCGAAGCCCCGGUAAACGGCGGCCGUAACUAUAACGGUCCUAAGGUAGCGAAAUUCCUUGUCGGGUAAGUUCCGACCUGCACGAAUGGCGUAAUCAUGGCCACACUGUCUCCACCCGAGACUCAGUGAAAUUGAAUUUGCGGUUAAGAUGCCGUAUACCCGCGGCUAGACGGAAAGACCCCGUGAACCUUUACUAUAGCUUGACAGUGAACAUUGCUCCUACAUGUGUAGGAUAGGUGGGAGGCAUUGAAGCAGCGUCGCUAGAUGUUGUGGAGCCAAUCUUGAAAUACCACCCUUGUAUGCGUGAUGUUCUAACCUAGGGCCCUUAUCGGGCUUGGGGACACUGUCUGGUGGGUAGUUUGACUGGGGCGGUCUCCUCCCAAAGAGUAACGGAGGAGCACGAAGGUUGGCUAAGUANGAAAUUGAAUUUGCGGUUAAGAUGCCGUAUACCCGCGGCUAGACGGAAAGACCCCGUGAACCUUUACUAUAGCUUGACAGUGAACAUUGCUCCUACAUGUGUAGGAUAGGUGGGAGGCUUUGAAGCAGCGUCGCUAGAUGUUGUGGAGCCAAUCUUGAAAUACCACCCUUGUAUGCGUGAUGUUCUAACCUAGGGCCCUGAUCGGGCUUGGGGACACUGUCUGGUGGGUAGUUUGACUGGGGCGGUCUCCUCCCAAAGAGUAACGGAGGAGCACGAAGGUUGGCUAAGUAUGGUCGGACAUCAUACGGUUAGUGCAAUGGCAUAAGCCAGCUUAACUGCGAGACAGACACGUCGAGCAGGUACGAAAGUAGGUCAUAGUGAUCCGGUGGUUCUGUAUGGAAGGGCCAUCGCUCAACGGAUAAAAGGUACUCCGGGGAUAACAGGCUGAUACCGCCCAAGAGUUCAUAUCGACGGCGGUGUUUGGCACCUCGAUGUCGGCUCAUCACAUCCUGGGGCUGAAGUCGGUCCCAAGGGUAUGGCUGUUCGCCAUUUAAAGUGGUACGCGAGCUGGGUUUAGAACGUCGUGAGACAGUUCGGUCCCUAUCUGCCGUGGGCGUUUGAGAAUUGAAGAGGGCUGCUCCUAGUACGAGAGGACCGGAGUGGACGAACCUCUGGUGUUCGGGUUGUCACGCCAGUGGCAUUGCCCGGUAGCUAUGUUCGGAACUGAUAACCGCUGAAAGCAUCUAAGCGGGAAGCAGGCUUUGAGAUGAGUUCUCACUGGGACUUUGAGUCCCCUAAAGGGUCGUUGGAGACUACAACGUUGAUAGGUCAGGUGUGUAAGUCCUGUGAGGGAUUGAGCUAACUGAUACUAAUUGCCCGUGAGGCUUAACCAUACAACACCCAAGCGGUU